UGCGGACGGGUGAGUAAUGUCUGGGAAACUGCCUGAUGGAGGGGAUAACUACUGGAAACGGUAGCUAAUACCGCAUAACGUCGCAAAGACCAAAGAGGGGGACCUUCGGGCCUCUUGCCAUCGGAUGUGCCCAGAUGGGAUUAGCUAGUAGGUGGGGUAACGGCUCACCUAGGCGACGAUCCCUAGCUGGUCUGAGAGGAUGACCAGCCACACUGGAACUGAGACACGGUCCAG
rnacentral:rRNA from 1 species